rnacentral:tRNA from 1 species
GCCGACGUAGUUUAAUGGUAGAACUUGAGCUUCCCAAGCUGCUGGCGCGGGUUCGAUUCCCGUCGUCGGCUCCA